rnacentral:rRNA from 1 species
AACGAACGCUGGCGGCAGGCUUAACACAUGCAAGUCGAGCGAAGACUUCGGUCUUAGCGGCGGACGGGUGAGUAACGCGUGGGAACGUGCCUUUCACUACGGAAUAGUCCCGGGAAACUGGGUUUAAUACCGUAUACGCCCUUCGGGGGAAAGAAUUUCGGUGAGAGAUCGGCCCGCGUCUGAUUAGGUAGUUGGUGGGGUAAUGGCCUACCAAGCCGACGAUCAGUAGCUGGUUUGAGAGGAUGAUCAGCCACACUGGGACUGAGACACGGCCCAGACUCCUACGGGAGGCAGCAGUGAGGAAUCUUGGACAAUGGGGGCAACCCUGAUCCAGCCAUGCCGCGUGAACGAUGAAGGCCUUAGGGUUGUAAAGUUCUUUCAACGGUGAAGAUAAUGACGGUAGCCGUAGAAGAACCCCGGCUAACUCCGUGCCAGCCGCCGCGGUAAU